rnacentral:lncRNA from 1 species
CUCUCACACCUGGGCUCGCCUCCUUCGAGUCUCGGUCUGGCGCGGGCUGGAUCCCAGCCGAGCCCAGGGCCCUCAGCUCGCGGGGAGAAGGAGCCCCCGACGUCCGGCCGGCGCCUGCCUGGCACCGCGCACUGGCUCGUCCACGCCAGCGCGGAGUGACGCGCGCCAAAGCGUCCCAUCCGCCCCGCGAGCUCCUCCCGGGGAGAGAAUUUUAGGCGCAGGCGGAAAGGGGAAUCCUCCCCCUUCCUGCCAUCAGCCCGCAUCAGGCCUGGGACCCUCGCUCCCCCUCGGCUCUCUCUCGGCCCUGGAGCUCCCAGUGUCUUAUAGACUCUGCACCGACACGACCCGAGUUAUACGUGUCACCAAAGAGCCAGUGGGUGCGGGGUAGCACCGGGCAGGGGAGCGAGACCAGGAAAAAUGCCUGGCCAGGCAUGGCGCCCCGCUGCUCAAUUCCACGCCGCUCCACCCGGCUUCGAAACGACUACCUAGUAGCUCUGCAGGAUCGAGUCACGUUUUGACUGCCUCCGCUCAGGCAGGGGUCCUGCCGGGAUCCGAACGGCCAGGGAAAGUUUUCGGGACGUUAAAAGUCAUCCAGAGCUCCGGCCUCAGACUCCCGGGCGCCGCCCACCGCCCUCGGGCUGCGGCUCCCGACCCCCGCCCUCGCGCCCCGUCUGCCUGCCAGAAUCUCGGGUGCCCUGUUCCCCAAGCCCUCUAGGUCACGUUUCUAGAACCGCCUUGGCUCUGAUGUGACAGAGUCCGAGAAAUCUCGAGUCCACUGCAAAGCACGGCCAGCGGUGCCGAGGGAAGGGGCUGAGCCCUCCAGGAGGCGUCUCCCCAAACCUCGGAGCGGACCCCACGCUGCCCGGUCUCCAGAGAUGGCACCAACUAGCCGUACUUUCAGGUGGGGCGGGGAGCACGCAGGAGGCCACAGCGGGCGUCCAGCAGCAAGCUCCCCAGGUGCUCUCUGCGCGCGGCAGGGACCUGUCCGCCUCUGCCCUGCGCCCAGGCCCGACGCCGCGCGCGGUGGGGCCAAGGGGAGCUGCGUCGCGCCUGGAGCUCCUGGCAGCGGCCCUCGGGCUUUUCUCCCUGGGCGAGGAGCCCAGCCCACCACCCGACAUCCGCAACUCCUCUCCCGCCCCGGCCCUCACUCGGGGGGCGCUGCGGACAGCAAGGAGCGGGGACCGCAAAGCACGCGUGCCAUGUAGGAUACGUGCGUGAGAGGAGGGAGGGCUGCGACUUUGAUUUUGAGAAUCUUCCCACUUCCCUAGGAAGUUUGCUGGUAGGCGCCUCUGCCCCCGGUCGGAGCCUCCCACAGCCCAUCCUUCCCACCCUCCUCCCCGCCUCCGCAAGCCGAGGGAGCCGGAGACUCCUCCGGGCCAGGCUGCCCGCUGGGUCCGCGCGCCCGGGCCUCCGCGCCGCGCCCCCCGGCCUCCCCAGGGCUCCGCGCCGGGCGCCUCUCCCCGGGGCAAAACUCUCCGGCCCCGCUCGCUGCAAGGAGACACCGCUGCCUCCUGAGGAACUCCUAAUACCAUCCAUACAGCUUUAAUGCGUUUAUAAUUCGAUAAGUGAUUUCAAUUUGAAAUUGUUAGUAACUAAUUUUAUGGGUAAUUUUUCCACAUCAAAUAUUUAAGCAUCAGAUUAAAGGAGCCAGUUCCGACACAGGAUAAUAAGGGGGUUUCCCCACACACACCUCCCCCGCGCCUCCGCCUCUCUCCGUUUCCUACCGAGUCAUUUUUCCAAAUGCCCAAAAGGUGGCAGUCGAAGCCGACUUUCCUCUUUUUUCCAGGGGCUCUGCGAAGGGAGGGAGAGAGGGGAGGGGGAGGGUAGAGAGAGAGGGGGAGGGGCAGAAAGGGGGAAGGAGAAACUAAACGCCGCGUGGACUUUUCAAACUAAUUCUUUAUCACGUUUCUAAUAUAGUACAAGCAAGAAGCAGUGGUGAAUUUCCUGGAAAAGUCCUGGCCGAAAAGAAAGCCAAAAAACGUGCUUUUGUGGCCUCAGGGUAGGAGAUGUGAGAAACUCAGCACAUUCGAGCUAAACCCUUAAUUCUGAACAGAAGCGGGAGAGGGAGACUCAGAAAGGGGCCCACUGGCUUUUUGAUAUUUCUUUGUAUUUCAACAUUAUCUACAAACGCUACACAACUAAGCAACUUGAUUGUUUGAGGUCAGGGCUCUGCAAAUUACAUAAUGGGGGCAAGGGGUAGGUCUGGGGAAAGGGUGAGGGUGGGGGGCUGGCCGUCCUGGGCGGAGGGGAGACUGGGGCGAGCAGCGGAUGAAUUGCAGACCGGUUGCCAAAACUUUUUUUUCCCCUGCUGCUUCUGCGGCUGCGGCUGCCUUUGCCGCUGCCUCGCUUUGAAUGUGGGUAACUAGGAAACAGCAAGCCGUCUGAGAAGACGGAAUUUCCAACGUGUAAAAUGUUCUUAACGGAACCAUUGAGCGAGUGCAAUAAGGCGUGAGGGGGAACUAAUCUUCCCAUUUAAAUGUUUGUGGCAAUUUUAUCUAAAUGAAUUUUAAUGCUAAACGAGGGUAAUUCCCCAUUUGUAGCGCGUUUACUUCUCUUUCCUGUGCUUCUAAAGCAGUCGAAUAUCAUGCAAUGAACAAUAACAAUAAAAAUACUGUCGAGGCAUAUUAUUCAUUUUGAAUGUGUUAUAAUUACAGCUGAUAAAAUAUGAUCGGGUAAAAUAUUUUUAAUUUUUUGAAGAAAUAUUUAAACCUUACUGGAAAGUAGUCUAGUUCAGCCAGUGGCCACCCCCCCCCCCAAAAAAUAAAAAGCAGGUACAAUUGUGUGCCCUUGUUUAGAGGAGGGCGCUCUGUUUUUGCCUUUCAAGAAACAUCAGAAACACUCUCCACACUUAUUAUUUCCCUCCUUCGGAUAAGUGUCCUCAAUAACCUCAGGGCUGACUCUGAAAUUUGCAAGAGGAAAAGCUAAAAUAGUAUUAAGAGGGCAUGGUGUCAGGGGGGAGAAAGGAUCUGGGAAGAGGAAGGCUGGGGUGGGCCACGGAAACAACAGUUUGGUUUAUUUUUUAUUUUUUCCUAGUUCCUGGACACUUGGUCAUGAUUCUUCAUAGUCUCCAUAUUCCUUCUUCCUUCUCCCUACCUCCUCAGGAGUGAGUCCGUCUGUCUCUCUCUCUUCCCCGCUUUGCCCUUUCUCUUCCCCGACUCCGAAAGCACCUCCUCAAAAAAUAAAGACAAAAUAACCAACUCACCCGCCACUACUAGGGAGGAGGGG